UACGAAGGGGGCUAGCGUUGUUCGGAAUCACUGGGCGUAAAGGGCGCGUAGGCGGCCGAUCAAGUCGGGGGUGAAAGCCUGUGGCUCAACCACAGAAUUGCCUUCGAUACUGUUUGGCUUGAGACCGGAAGAGGUUAGUGGAACUGCGAGUGUAGAGGUGAAAUUCGUAGAUAUUCGCAAGAACACCAGUGGCGAAGGCGGCUGACUGGUCCGGUUCUGACGCUGAGGCGCGAAAGCGUGGGGAGGCAAA
rnacentral:rRNA from 1 species